AUGGGUGAUUAAUAAGAACAUUGAUGAAAUUAAUGCAGAUCUGGACUCCAUUGACAAGCCCAUUGAAGGUGACAAAUGGGUACAGCUCGAUACAUAUGCAAACCGAGUAGUGGAAUCCACUGUUGCACACAUUGGAAAGUUCGAUACAGAAAGUUCAAUCAACUUUAAUGUCAAUGAGUUUUCUUUGCAUUAAUAAAAGAAAUGAAAAAGUCCAUCUCACAACUUGGAAACUUAGUUAACUUGCUUGCUGGGACAAACCAGACUGGACAAGCUAAGAACAUCCACUAGGGGGAAACUCAAAGGUUGAAACGUGAUAAAGAAUGAGAAACUUGUGUACAAGUUGAAGAGUGUGGAUGGAAGCAGACCGGUUCUAAGUCUUUACACCGAGAUGAUUGAUGGGUCAACAAUUGAAGAUAAAGAAACGGCCCUGGUGUGGUUUUAUGAAGAUGCAGACCCUGAAGUUGGAUCCUUUCAAGCUAAAGAACUUAUCUAUCAUCUUGAGAGUGUGCUCGCCAAUUAUAGAACGGCAAGAUGGAGGGCUUUAUCAUCAACAAGGUUAAUUGUUGGACCUUCAAUGCUUCUCUUAUUUAGUAGUUAUUAAGAUAUAAGUUUCCAUCUUUUAUUUUAUUUCGCAUAUUGGAGUUGUUCCUGAUGAAGAGUUGUUUGAGAUACUGGCUUUGACUUUGUUGUCCGACACUUCAAAUAGAGUUAAAUGUACUAGGAGCUUAUGAUAUCAAGGAUUGAUCAUGUGCUACUAAUAUCAUGUUGCAAUUUGUAUCCAUAGAGACAUGGGUUGCUAGAGUAAUUUUUUGUUUUCAAUUUGUAUCUUUAAAAUCAUAACUAAUUGUAUAAGAAAGAAAGUUCUUGCAAAUUUAUUUUCUCAAAUAUAAUAUUGUAUCAAUUUACUAAA